rnacentral:snoRNA from 1 species
AGUCCAACUCAAUGCCAAGCAGCUUAUAUGCUGAUUUGAGCAUAUAUUUGAAAUGGACUUAUAAUAAAUAUGAGGUUUUAAUAUCCUAGUGCCUAAAGAUAUUACUCUCUUUUUGCUCUCUUGGAACUUAAAACUACA